GACGUAGGGCGCGAGCGUUGUCCGGAUUUAUUGGGCGUAAAGAGCACGUAGGCGGCUUGUCGCGUCGACUGUGAAAACCCGAGGCUCAACUUCGGGCUUGCAGUCGAUACGGGCAGGCUAGAGUUCGGUAGGGGAGACUGGAAUUCCUGGUGUAGCGGUGAAAUGCGCAGAUAUCAGGAGGAACACCGAUGGCGAAGGCAGGUCUCUGGGCCGAUACUGACGCUGAGGAGCGAAAGCGUGGGGAGCGAACAGG
rnacentral:rRNA from 1 species